GCUGAAGUACUGGUCUGCCUAGCUCCAUCCUCCAGACUCCAUUUUGUUCCUGUUUUGAGAGGAAAUGAGCUUGACAAAGAUGCCAGCCCCGGCAUCGAAGGUGGAAGAGUGGGAGUUGCCGUUGAAGUCGCAGGAGACAACCCGGUCCUCGGUGUAGCCCAAGAUGCCCUUCAGUGGGCCCUCAGAUGCCUGCUUCACCACCCGCUUGAUGUCAUCAUACUUG
ensembl:lincRNA Gm14133 predicted gene 14133